UACGAAAGGGGGGCUAGCGUUGCUCGGAAUCACUGGGCGUAAAGGGUGCGUAGGCGGGUUUUUAAGUCAGGGGUGAAAUCCUGGAGCUCAACUCCAGAACUGCCUUUGAUACUGAAGAUCUUGAGUUCGGGAGAGGUGAGUGGAACUGCGAGUGUAGAGGUGAAAUUCGUAGAUAUUCGCAAGAACACCAGUGGCGAAGGCGGCUCACUGGCCCGAUACUGACGCUGAGGCACGAAAGCGUGGGGAGCAAACAGG
rnacentral:rRNA from 1 species